rnacentral:lncRNA from 1 species
ACACAACAACCAUAAAUACUAACUUAUCUAAGUUAUCAAACAUACAAAAUAUGUAUCAUUUCUUCUCCUUGUUCUUUUUCUUCUUUUUUUCUUCCGUAAAAGGCGAACUUACAUGAAUUGAAGGCUUGAUUUUCCUCUUCGGUGCCAAGUGACAUUUUUUCUUAGCACAUUGCUUAAACUUCUGUUUUUUCUUUUGUAUAACACAUUUAUCACC